AUAUAAAAAUCGAUCUUGUGGAAAUACUUAAUUUAGGUGCGUCUGUACAACGUUGCAAUGUUACAGCGAUUGAAAUAUGUUUCUAGUCGCGUUCUAAGAGUUGAUGUAGGUUUUAUACACUGUCAGUUAUCUAUUACACAAUUUGUUGCAAAGUCACUUGCGAUGCUGAUAUGGUAAUUUCUUUAUUAGUUUAAAUUUACCAAAAUAUUUGAUGACAUAGAAUUAACACGUUCUUCGAUCGUAAUUUUGGAAAUGUAAUAGAAAUAUCAACUUCUUAGGAUUAUACCAGCAUGUAGAAAUACUUAUUGGCGAUAGUGUACACUGUAAUAAUUUUCUCAACACCGUCAUGGAUACGAGAAAAUGUAAAAACGAAAGAAGAAUUAACAGAGUCUAAUUAUAAACCGACGAACGACUUUUCUAUUGUCGUUAUUCUUCAAGGCAUAAAAACGCUAUAACAAACGAGGGUAACACAGCGAAAAAGACAAGUGCAGGCAAGGGGACUUUGGAUGUUGGCGUCCUAUUGUCUGGUUCUUCUGCUCGACCAGGUCGAGAGCCCUUCUCGGGAAGAGCCCCCAUAUAGACUGAACCGACCACUUGUUCCGAUCGGUCCGAAACAAUCUGAAACUGACAGGACUAUGGACCAGCCGUGGGCUUCUCGCAGCGAGCUGACGAUACACGGAUAAGGAGAAACACUAAUAUCAUCGAAUAAAUAAAAGUCGAUGUAUCAUAACUAAGAUCAUAAUUAACUAUAUCUAUAAAUAACUACGAUUCUGGUGCGGUCUUGGAAUGUUCUACGUCACGAUGAGAUACACAUUAGUAAUGAUUCUUUCAUGAUUUUCAGAUCAAAUUUAAGAAACGGUUUGCAGCAAUAAGGAGACAAAAGAGAUCCGCAUCUUAAUUGAUUUUUUGUUGGUUUACUCGAAUUAUUGGAAAACGGAGCUGCCUCCUUGUUACAGCAGCCACUUCAAUCUUCUAACGAUAGAAAAAUACGAUUUCGUCGAAAGUGACCGAAAGAAUCCGGUAGGGCUAAUCAAUUACAGAUCGAUCGGACACGAAGAUAUAUACACAUGUGCGUGGAAAGAAAGAGAAAGAAAGAGAGCGAAGGAGAAGAAGAGGAGGAUAAUUACGGAGCAGAAAAUUGCAGGGUGACUUAUACUAGCAGAAGUUUGCACGUCGCGAAUGAACCGGCUCUUGGUGGGUUCAGGAUCAGCGAGACAACGGUAAACCACCGUCGUUGGUCUGUUGUCGUGAUGAGGAGCAAGAAAGAGACAAAAGAGAUGGCAGAGAAGGGACGAGUAACGAGAAGAAAGAGGCAGAGGAAGAAAGAUGGGAAAAAGGGAGGGAGAAAAAGCGAGAGGGAAGAUCGCAUACCUGAGUGAACAGGUGUGCCGGAGUGGACGACGAGUGAGUUGCUGUCCAGCCGACGGCGGCUUGGCCAACGAGCAGCCUGUUAAGUCCCUUCGUGCACGAAGAGCAGGGACGCAAUCACUUCGCCGAUUUUAGAAUUCGCGACCGAUUGGAAUUCCACAGAGGAAAGUAAAAUCCCUCUGAAAUCGCUUGGGACUGUUUUAACAACCGGCUAUUGCUUUAAGUCGAACGUCUCCCGUCAGAGAUCGUAAAGUCCCGCAAACGUGCAAGAUUAAUGUCGUUCGUUGAACGCUUCGUUCUUCAUUUUCUUCCAUAUGGAUUAUAUUAAGUUUUGAUAAUUAAGUUUUGAGAUUUUUAGGAUUGUUUUUAAACUUACACGUACAAGAAUUCGUUGUAAAGUAAUCGAGAUGUCUGAUCGUAAACGGCAUAUUUUAAAUCCGAGUACACAGAUCUUAUCGAGAAGUUUUCAUUCGUUAAAGAAAGUUAAAUUAAAGAAAGAUUUAUAGUUA